AAAAGAGUAUAUAGCUCUUCGGGAAUGGCCAUUUUGGGGAUUCCUACUAUUUCUUUAGUCGAUACAAAUUGUGACCCGGAUCUCGCGAAUAUAUCGAUUCCAGCCAACGAUGACACUAUGACUUCAAUUCGCUUUGAGGAAUUCAUGGAAUAA
rnacentral:rRNA from 1 species